UACAUAAGAAUCAAUAAAAAUCAUUCAUUUAACAAAAUCAUUAUUAACCGAUAUAAUCGCAAUUGCCAAUUUUUGAAAUUGUCAGCAAAUCGUGUCACUAUGAUAAUGGCUCAAGUAAUUACGUUUGGUCACGGAGGAUAAUGUCAUUAUCCCAGAAUCAAUAAUAUUACAGAUAUUAUUUCUUUUUUGUAGCAGCAAAUUAUUAAUUAAUGAAAUAUAUAAUUGGUUUAUUUCUUUAUUUUUAUCUUCGCUUAUGUUUAAAACAAACUCUGUCUUGAAGAAAUAAUAAAAAAACAAAAACACAGCAAAAAGAUCGGAUGCAAAAAUAUCGCCGACAUAAAUGCAAAAUUAAUCGCACGAAAAUUUGCAAAUUAACAUUAUCACAUAUACUCGAUUAAAUCGUUCAAAUAAUUUGUAAAACGCUCAUAAAAUUUUUUACGCUCGUUUGCAAUCGAACGAAAUGUAAUAUUCAGUAUUAAUGUUUCCAGAGCGCGAUAUUGUUUCCUGUCGGCUUGUGUCGAUGUGUUUACCUGGGCGAUAGCGCACAACGCGGUUAGAUGGCUCAAUAACCAGCAAUGUAUGCUUCUGGUGACCCGCCUCGCAUCGAUCAUCCGCAUUCGACGAGAUAUCAUUUCCUCUCACUGAAACUUUCCUGAAAAUCUCGCCCACAGAUAGCGAUUGGACAGGUGUCAGCAACACAUUUCGCGCCAUCGAAAAAUCUUCUCGUAUCAUCAGGACACCUGCUCUUCGAUUACAUCAGAAAUUAGCCACACAGAUCAGAAUUCGAAUGGAUCUUCCCAAGGGAAAAACGAUGCAGCGACGCUGGCGACGUUUGAAGACAUCCCCAAUGGACAUUGGAAGAUUCAGCAAUACGCGCAAUCGGGCUUGCUGCCAAACCAAUUCAGCUGCAAUAAUAUUUGCAUAAACUGGAUUUGUCGUGUCUGAUUCAUAAAUCAUGCAGCGUAAUAACGACCGCCGAAGAAGCCGGCCUUUGAAGCAUGCAGUGCCGCUUGGUUCAGCAGCUGUACUGUAAACAAUGUUGUUGUUCUUACUGCAAUUCCCGCCUAGAAUGCCGUUCAAUCGGAUGUAUUUUUCGUGAUCGUCUCUAAACGGAGAACGGAAAGAAGAUCUUCAGAGCUUUUGGCUGCAGAACAGCGGCAAAACCAUCGAUCAUAUAGACGAAAGCUGUCGUCGUCACGUAGAUCGCAGUCGAACGACGGCAGGCGAGUCCUGUCGUGAGAAAAGGAGCUUCACGACGUUUUGCCGUUUCUUACAACUGACACGAAGAGCUGGAAUGAGGCAGUCGCUACCUAUAUAAACGGAAAAGCAAUCAACGGGAAACGAAGAGAGAAAAAUUGUCGUACAUUGAGAGUCUGCAACUGCUGUGCGCCGCACCCCGGCGCUCCUGAAUCAUUCAUCAUGGAACGCUCGCCGAUUUCGUAUCACUUUUCAUCGAAAUUACAUCUUUGAUCUCGCGACGGGAUCACGAUUGCAGUCUAGCUUUUUAAUUAAUUCAAAAUGGACGCGUUGAUAACGUUUCUAAAAUUAAUUCAUCGAGUAUAGCGUGAUCCAUCAUUCGCCCACGAGAAAAGAUUUAUCAUGUUGAAAAGUUCUCUAUCCCGAGUCAUUUAAUUUAUAAUUGUUAUGUACAUCUAUUACUUUAUUUGACAUCACCGUAA